rnacentral:rRNA from 1 species
GACGAACGCUGGCGGUGUGCUUAACACAUGCAAGUCGAACGGAAAGGCCCUGCUUUUGUGGGGUGCUCGAGUGGCGAACGGGUGAGUAACACGUGAGUAACCUGCCCUUGACUUUGGGAUACUUCAGGAAACUGGGGCUAAUACCGGAUAGGAGCUCCUGCUGCAUGGCGGGGGUUGGAAAGUUUCGGCGGUUGGGGAUGGACUCGCGGCUUAUCAGCUUGUUGGUGGGGUAGUGGCUUACCAAGGCUUUGACGGGUAGCCGGCCUGAGAGGGUGACCGGCCACAUUGGGACUGAGAUACGGCCCAGACUCCUACGGGAGGCAGCAGUGGGGAAUAUUGCACAAUGGGCGGAAGCCUGAUGCAGCAACGCCGCGUGCGGGAUGACGGCCUUCGGGUUGUAAACCGCUUUCGCCUGUGACGAAGCGUGAGUGACGGUAAUGGGUAAAGAAGCACCGGCUAACUACGUG